AUUGAACGCUGGCGGCAGGCCUAACACAUGCAAGUCGAGCGGAUGAAGGGAGCUUGCUCCUGGAUUCAGCGGCGGACGGGUGAGUAAUGCCUAGGAAUCUGCCUGGUAGUGGGGGAUAACGUCCGGAAACGGGCGCUAAUACCGCAUACGUCCUGAGGGAGAAAGUGGGGGAUCUUCGGACCUCACGCUAUCAUAUGAGCCUAGGUCGGAUUAGCUAGUUGGUGGGGUAAAGGCCUACCAAGGCGACGAUCCGUAACUGGUCUGAGAGGAUGAUCAGUCACACUGGAACUGAGACACGGUCCAGACUCCUACGGGAGGCAGCAGUGGGGAAUAUUGGACAAUGGGCGAAAGCCUGAUCCAGCCAUGCCGCGUGUGUAAAGAAGGUCUUCGGAUUGUAAAGCACUUUAAGUUGGGAGGAAGGGCAGUAAGUUAAUACCUUGCUGUUUUGACGUUACCAACAGAAUAAGCACCGGCUAACUUCGUG
rnacentral:rRNA from 1 species